GGGUCAGUAGGUUGGUCGUGCCACCGGUACGUACUGGUCUCACUGAUUCCUCCUUCCUGAAGAACCGUAAUGCCAUUAAUUUGGUGUUGCAGGGAAACAGGACUGUUACUUUGAAAAAAUUAGAGUGUUUAAAGCAAGCUAACGCUUGAAUACAUUAGCAUGGAAUAAUGAAAUAGGACGAUCGAUCCUAUUUUGUUGGUUUCUAGGAUUGACGUA
rnacentral:rRNA from 1 species